rnacentral:rRNA from 1 species
AUGUGAUCGUCUCUCGCAUAUCAAUAAGCGGAGGAAAAGAAACUAACAAGGAUUCCCCUAGUAACGGCGAGUGAAGCGGGAAGAGCUCAAAUUUGAAAUCUUAAAGGGUUUCCCUUUACGAAUUGUAGUUUAAAGAAGUGUUUUCUGUUGAGGUUUUGGUAAAAGUUCUUUGGAAUAGGACAUCAUAGAGGGUGAGAAUCCCGUAUUUGGUACCUUUACCUUCUAGCUUUGUGAUACACUUUCAAAGAGUCGGAUUGUUUGGGAAUGCAGUCCAAAAUGGGUGGUAAAUUUCAUCUAAAGCUAAAUAUUGGCGAGAGACCGAUAGCGAACAAGUACCGUGAGGGAAAGAUGAAAAGAACUUUGAAAAGAGAGUUAAACAGUACGUGAAAUUGUCAAAAGGGAAGCGUUUGACACCAGUGUUGUUUUUCUGAAAAUCAAUUAAAGAACUGUUUAUGCUAAGCUGUUUAGACUUUAUCAGCUAUCUGUUUAGUUUUGAGCUUUUCUUUAAUGCACUUUUCAGUUAACAAGUCAACAUCAAUUUCUUUUGCUGUAAAAAAGCUUGAGGAAGGUGGCUUGAGAUUCGUCUUAAGUGUUUAUAGCCUCUUGCCUAUGCAGUCGGAGAGAUUGAGGUCUGCAGCGUAGAUCCUUCGGGGCUAAAUGCAUUUGUGCUAAGUUAUAGCAUUUCAUAGACAACUUGUUGACUAUGAUUUGUCUUGUAGCUUACUCGCUUAUGUUAUUUUACCUACGCUUAGGAUGUUGACUGAUAUGUAGUCGUA